CCAACACUGGGAAUUGCCACAUCUAAGUUUUAUUUUACUCAAGAAUAUAUUUUAAAACUCUUCUACAAAUGCAUGAUUAUUUUAGUUUUAAGUGUAUUUUAGCUCUUUAAUUUGAAAAAAUUUGUCCAUUAACUGUGCUAUGACUCAAAGGUUAACUUUUAGCACAAUCAUUAAAUUAUAGGCUUGAGUGACAGACAGACCUAGGACCUAGGUUCAUAUCCUGGCUUGGCCAUGUAACACCGAGCACAUUAUUUAACCUCUUUGAGCCUCAAUUUUAUCCUCUAUAGAGCCAUUUCUCUUUGAGAUUAUAAGGCAAGCUCUUUAGAGUGGGAGUGGUUAUACUUCUACAAUAUUUCUGUGAUUUGAAUUUUAAAAAUUGUAUAACCAAAACAUAAAAAUAAAGUGGAUACCAAGGCUGAAAUUAUUAUAGCUGUCCUCUAUAGUAAUAUGAUUUUGUUUAUAAUUUGUGAAAGUUUAAAGUUUAAAUUUAUUGACAUUAUAUGUUUAUAAACAAAUUAGAUUUAUACUAAUAAAUAUUAGUAAUAGUUUUAUUGUUUUAUGUAUUGAAGUUUCUCAUUAGAUUUUGUCUAAAGAAAAGUGGUUCUGUUGUUUUAAAAAAAAGACAAAACAAACCCCACCAUAAAGAAACCCUUUUAGAGAUUGUUCUCUUCACCCUGGCCUUUCCUCUGUCUUCCCAAGGAUUUUGAGUUCAUUUUGUCCUUGAUUUUUUUCUCCCCAGUGUGCAUGCUUGCUCUUUAGUCCUCUUCUUUCUAA
rnacentral:lncRNA from 1 species